GACGAACCGAGCGAACGUUGUUCGGAAUCACUGGGCUUAAAGGGCGCGUAGGCGGGCUGUCAAGUCUGGGGUGAAAUCCCACGGCUCAACCGUGGAACUGCCUUAGAUACUGACGGCCUCGAGGGAGGUAGGGGCAUGCGGAACUGAUGGUGGAGCGGUGAAAUGCGUUGAUAUCAUCAGGAACUCCGGUGGCGAAGGCGGCGUGCUGGACCUUUUCUGACGCUGAGGCGCGAAAGCUAGGGGAGCAAACGGGG
rnacentral:rRNA from 1 species